GCCGGAGUGGCGGAAUGGCAGACGCAGCGGACUCAAAAUCCGCCGAGGUCAAACUCGUGGGGGUUCGAGUCCCCCCUUCGGCA
rnacentral:tRNA from 1 species